AUACUGGAGGGAAGGUGGGGAUGACGUCAAGUCAUCAUGGCCCUUACGGCCAGGGCUACACACGUACUACAAUGGGAAGGACAGAGGGCUGCAAACCCGCGAGGGCAAGCCAAUCCCAGAAACCUUCUCUCAGUCCGGAUCGGAGUCUGCAACUCGACUCCGUGAAGUCGGAAUCGCUAGUAAUCGCAGAUCAGCAUUGCUGCGGUGAAUACGUUCCCGGGCCUUGUACACACCGCCCGUCACACCAUGGGAGUUUGUUGCACCAGAAGCAGGUAGCCUAACCUUCGGGAGGGCGCUUGCCACGGUGUGGCAGAUGACUGGGGUGAAGUCGAACCAUAU
rnacentral:rRNA from 1 species